UACGUAGGCAGCGAGCGUUGUUCGGAAUUACUGGGCGUAAAGCGUGUGUAGGCGGCCACGUAAGUCGGAUGUGAAAGCCCCAGGCUCAACCUGGGAAGUGCACUCGAUACUGCGUGGCUUGAGUAUCGGAGAGGUUGGUGGAAUUCUCGGUGUAGAGGUGAAAUUCGUAGAUAUCGAGAGGAACACCGGUGGCGAAAGCGGCGCACUGGACCACAACUGACGCUGAGGCGCGAAAGCUAGGGGAGCAAACAGG
rnacentral:rRNA from 1 species